CGGGGCGUAGCUCAGCCUGGAUAGAGCGCUUGGUUUGGGUCCAAGAGGUCGUGUGUUCGAAUCACAUCGCCCCGA
rnacentral:tRNA from 1 species